UACGUAGGUGGCAAGCGUUGUCCGGAAUUAUUGGGCGUAAAGCGCUCGCAGGCGGUCUUUUAAGUCUGAUGUGAAAGCCCACGGCUUAACCGUGGAGGGUCAUUGGAAACUGGAGGACUUGAGUACAGAAGAGGAGAGUGGAAUUCCACGUGUAGCGGUGAAAUGCGUAGAGAUGUGGAGGAACACCAGUGGCGAAGGCGACUCUCUGGUCUGUAACUGACGCUGAGGAGCGAAAGCGUGGGUAGCGAACAGG
rnacentral:rRNA from 1 species